rnacentral:rRNA from 1 species
UACGGGGGGGGCAAGCGUUGUUCGGAAUUACUGGGCGUAAAGGGCGCGUAGGUGGCCAACUAAGUCAGACGUGAAAUCCCCCGGCUCAACUGGGGAACUGCACAGGAAACUAGCGGGCUUGAGUUCGGGAGAGGGAAGCGGAACUCCGGGUGUAGCGGUGAAAUGCGUAGAUAUCCGGAGGAACACCGGUGGCGAAGGCGGCUUCCUGGACCGACACUGACGCUGAGGCGCGAAAGCUAGGGGAGCAAACGGG